AUUGAACGCUGGCGGCAUGCCUUACACAUGCAAGUCGAACGGCAGCACGGGAGCUUGCUCCUGGUGGCGAGUGGCGAACGGGUGAGUAAAGUAUCGGAACAUGCCCUGAAGUGGGGGAUAACGUAGCGAAAGUUACGCUAAUACCGCAUAUUCUGUGAGCAGGAAACGGGGGAUCGCAAGACCUCGCGCGAAUGGAGCGGCCGAUGUCAGAUUAGGUAGUUGGUGGGGUAAAGGCUCACCAAGCCAACGAUCUGUAGCUGGUCUGAGAGGACGACCAGCCACACUGGAACUGAGACACGGUCCAGACUCCUACGGGAGGCAGCAGUGGGGAAUUUUGGACAAUGGGCGCAAGCCUGAUCCAGCCAUUCCGCGUGCAGGAUGAAGGCCUUCGGGUUGUAAACUAGCUUUUGUACGGUAACGAAACGGGUACUAGGUCCCUAAUUAACGCGGGCCGUAAUUGAACGGUAACCGGUAAGAAGUUAAAGACGACCCGGCUAACUACCGUAGCCAGCAAGCCCG
rnacentral:rRNA from 1 species